rnacentral:tmRNA from 1 species
GGGGAUGUCACGGUUUCGACCGGGAGUCGAUGGUAGUGACUGCGUGUCGAGGAUGCCGACGUUACUCGUAAAACCAGCGGCACAAACACAAAUGCCAAGACCAACGUCUUCGCUCAGGUUCCCACCCCCAAGAUGAUGAACAAGGUGGCUCUCGCCGCCUAGUUCCCAUCGCAGGGUCGUUACCUGCCCCAUUCAUCUGCACCGGUUAGGUGGAUGGGCAACUCAAGCCGGUUGCUCUCACCCAAACGUCAACAGUAAGUGAGCUAAGCCAGCGUUGACUCGCCUUCAGUGUCCCGCGCCGAGGAGGGAAGCUGAGGGUUAACCAAAUCCCAGGCUACACACGUAGACGUUGCUAUGGUCUGCUUUCGGGACGCGAGUUCAAUUCUCGCCAUCUCCAC